rnacentral:tRNA from 1 species
UCUGGGGUAGCUCAAUAGGUAGAGCGCCGGUCUGUUAAAUCGGUUGUUGAGGGUUCAAGUCCCUCCCCCAGAG